CCAUCUCUACUAAAAAUACAAAAUUAGCUGGGCAUUGUGGCGAACGCCUGUAAUCCCAGCUACUUGGGAGGCUGAGGCAGGAGAAUUGCUUCAACCUGGGAGGCAGAGGUUGUAGUGAGCUGAGAUCGUGCCACUGCACUCCAGCCUGGGUGAAAGAGUGAGACUGUCUCACAAAAAAUAAAAAAUAAAAAAAAAAUAAGGCCAGGUGUGGUGGCUCACGCCUGUAAUCCCAGCACUUAGGGAGGCCGAGGAGGACGGAUCACCUGAGGUCAGGAGUUUGAAACCAGCCUGACCAACAUGGAGAAACCCUAUCUCUACUAAAAAUGCUAAAUUACCUGGGUCUGGUGGCACAUGCCUGUAAUCCCAGCUACUCGGGAGGCUGAGGCAUGAAAAUCACUUGAACCCGGGAGACGGAGGUUGUGGUGAGCCAAGAUCACGCCGUUGCCCUCCAGCCUGGGCAACAAGAGUGAAACUCCGUCUCAAAAAAAAAAAAAACGGCCAGGCUCAGUGGCUCACGCCUGUAAUCCCAGCACUUUGAGAGGCCAAGGCAGGAGGAUUCCCUGAGCUCAGGAGCUCAAGACCAGCCUAGGCAGUGUAGCAAAACCCAGUCUUUACAAAAGUAAAAAUUUUUUUAAUUUGAAAAAAUUAGUCAGUAGGGGGUGGGUGGUGGCAGGUGCCUGUAGGCCCAGCUACCCAGGAGACUGAGGAGGCAGGGUCACUUGAGCCCAGGAGUUUGAAGCUGCAGUGAGCUAUGAUCACACCACUGUACUCCAGCCUGGGUGACAGAGCAAGACCUUGUCUCUAAAUAAAAAAGAAAAGGGAGGGAGAAGAUUAGGAUUUUGCUUUGGGACUGGUGAAAGGAGGGCAGAACUCUCAGAGAUUGUUUCCUGAGGCCUGCCCCUGAGGCUUAACACACCUAAAAGACUGUAACAAGGGCUAGAGGAGUUAUAAGCCAGGAACUGUGCAGAAACAUGUAUAUAUGUAUGUUUUAUAUAUGAUAAUAUAUGUAUAUUUUAACACCCCACAUAUUAAAAAAUCCAGAUUUCCUUUGCCCCUGAAAGAUCAGGAAGACUUGGCCACGCUGGACCUUCAUUCUGCCCAGCAGCAGUUGCCUUGGGCUGAACUGUUGCUGCCACCUCCUGGCCAGCUUCACUUCUUUCCUGCACUAGUGUCUGAUUUGGAUCCUGAUCUAGACUGGUAUGGAGCACCCUCUAAUACAUGUGCACAAGAGAUUAUAUAAGGUGUCAUGGAUGCACAACAAAGGUGGUGACACUAUUCCCUACAAUCUGCAACCUUCCACCUGGAAUGUACUGUCCAUGUGGGCAUCCAAGGCGACCUUUUAAGUCCUACAGGAUAGGGAAGAUUUUUCAUGUGACACCUGUGAGGGAAUGUGCAUGUCCUUCCUCAGCCUUCAGCUUUCUGGAGUAGACAAGGGAUUACUAAACCACCGUUUCAUGUCAGUAUGUGGCCUUAUUUAUUAAAUCAGCAAAACAACACAAAACAUGUCAUUAGACACUAAGCUUAAAAAUGACAUUUCAGGCCAGGCAUGGUGCUCACACCUGUAACCCAGCACUUUGGGAGGAUGAGGUGGGCGGAUCCCCUGAGCCUAGGAGUUGGAGACCAGCCUGACCAACAUGGUGAAACCUCGUCUCUACUAAAAAUACAAAAAUUAGCUGGGAAUGGUGACGUGUGCCUGUAAUCCCAGCUACUUGGAAUGUUGAGGCAGGAGAAUCGCUUGAACCCGGGAGGCAGAGGUUGCAGGGAGCCGUAAUCAUGCCACUGCUCUCCAGCCUGGGCAACAGAGUGAGACUCCGUCUCCAAAAAAAAAAAAAAAAAUGACAUUUAAAAAAAAUGACAUUUCUUUUGAGCAGUGUUCCUUUGUAUUUUAAUAAUCCUGUAUUUAAUAUAGAUUAAGUAAAUAUUCAAGUUAUAAUGGAUGUCACAUAAAAUUUCCUUUAAAGAUAGGUAAGAAGAUAAAAUAGACAGUUAAAAGGAAAUAAGGGAGUCAAAAUACUAGAAAAAAAAUCAAACACAAAAGGCAGCAGUAAUGGAGAAAACAUAAGUGAAAGAUGCCAGACACAAAGGACCACAUGUUUAUGAUUCCACUUAUAGAAAAUAUCCAAAAUAGACAAAUCCACAGAAAUAGGAUCCAGGGGAUGGGAGGAGGGAAUUAUUACUUAAUGGGGGCUUCCCUCUGUGGUGAUGAAAAAUGCUUUGGAACUGUAGUGGUAACAGUACCACAACACUGUAAAUGUACUAAAAGCUAUGGAAUUGUAUACUUUAAAAUGGUGAAUUUUGGAAGGGGGGGGCAGGAAAAUAAAAUGGUGAAUUUUAUGUUAUGUGAAUUUUACCACAAUAAAAAAUAAACAAAAAGAAAAAGUUGCUUUACACAAAAGCAUGAAGUAAAAAUUACAUGUGGUAUGGUAAAAUAGCACAAAUCAUAAAAGCAAUCUAAGAAUGCCUAAAAUGGAGGGAAUAUUGCUUUAGCCAGAUUACCUGAGAACACAGUCCUCAGGUGGAGAAAGGUGUAUCUGCCCUGCCCAACCAGCAGCAGGCAGGCAGGGGCCUCGCAGCCCAGCGCAGGUGCUGUUUAGAAAGGGGCAUCCACAUGGAUAAAAGGCCCAGAUUAAAUGGGGCAGGAUGAUAUUUUGAGAUAUCUGACUUUGUUCUUUCUGCUCUGGAAUUUCAUUCCCUGGCCCUGCCCCCUGCCUGCGGCAGCCAAGUUCAUUGCCAGGAGAGGGAAGUGACAGAGCAGAAAUCAGGAACAAAGGACUGUGGAAGAAAAAAAAAUUACAGGUGAGAGACUGGAAUGUAGGCAGAACUAGGAACAAGGACAAACAGACAGACCACCUUAUCGCUGCAAAAAGGCUACUACCUAGAAGUGUUCAAGCCCAAGUUUUUCAAGCAUAAUGUUAACUAACCAAGGGCAGAGAUACCCAAAUGGAUCCAUCCCAUCUACAAUUAAACUAAGGACAGAAUCACUUGAGCUCCUUCCAAAGAAUGUUAAGUAAACAGAUUUUAUUCAAUCUUU